AAUGGCAAGACAUCUCUUUUAAAAGCUAAAUAGUAUUUCUAUCAAUCAAUCAUGUAUUUAUCACCUGUCUGCCUAUGCCUCCAUGUGUCUGUCUCCAUCUCCACCUCAGAGCUUCUUUGUCUAUUCAUCCACCAAUGGACAUUUUUGCUGUUGUGAAUAAUGCUGCAGUGAAUAUGGGAGUGCAGAUGUCUGAACAAGGUCAUGAUUCCAUUUCCUUUGGGUAUACUCUCAGAAGAGAGGGUAUUACCCACCCUUGACACCACUAGUGAUCCACAGUGCCAAGCAAAUCUGGACUUUGGUCUGCUGAUUAUAUUAGCUGCAAUCUAACUGAUACAUCUCAGUGAAGCUUCACAACUAUUAAGAUGCUCAGGAUUCGAUGGAAACACCAAAUAUAAAAUGGAAACUCAUCUACAUAACAAAGGCGAGGAGAAAGCAGCCAUCGCCUCGGCCAUCCCCAGAUCUUUGCUUUGCAACAAGUACUGGAGUCUUACAGAGUGCACACAAUACAAGAAGCUGUAUCGUUUGAAGAACUACACAGCCCCCAUUCCACCAAGCUCUCUGUUGGCAAGUUGGCGGAACUCAGAAACUUUCCCAGCGGACUGGAUGUGGGAUGCUCAGAACCUGAAGGUACAGAUAUUUUAAACAGCUCUGCCUUCAGGCCAGCCAGCCUAGCGUGGUGUUUUAUGCAGGAAAGAGCACAGCUCCUGUAACCUGUCCGUCUGUCUGAAUUGGAGUCCCAUCCUUUUGCUGGACGAUUCGGGGAAUGUUAACUCCUCUGGGCUUCCAGUCUCUCAUCUGCAACAUGGAAGACUCGUCCCCUUACUCUGUCAGUCAGGGGUAGUGUAGACGGACAGCGUUUAUUGCCACUAACCACUGCUCGACACAUCAUGGGAAUUGUUGUUGUUAUCAUGAUUAAUAAAAACUGUUACGGU